rnacentral:lncRNA from 1 species
CUCACUGCAACCUCCGCCCCACCAGUUCAAGUGAUUCUCCUGUCUCAGCCUCCCGAGUAACUGGGAUUACAGGUGUGCAUCACCACACCCAGCUAAUUUUUGUAUUUUUAGUAGAGACAGAGUUUCACCUUGUUGGCCAGGCUGGUCUCGAAUUCCUGACCUCAGGAGAUCUGCCCACCUCGGCCUCCCAAAGUGCUGGGAUUACAGGCGUGAGCCACGACACCCGGCCUAGGCUUCCUUCUUUAAAGACAAAUUUCCAGUGGGGCUCUGUAAGUAAUCCUCAUAUUUUCUCGUUGAGGAGUGUGGCCAGAGAAGGUGAGUCUUCUGCACGUAGCAGGGGGGAAAUGGUCAGGAGAUACUGUAAAAGCACUAAGAAAACCGGAAGGAAAAGGCCAGGCUCCAGGAGCACAGAGACUGGAUGGAUUCCUGCUUCCCUGUCACUCGGCUCUGUUCAGGCGGUGCAGUCACUUCCUUCACCUCAGUGUCCCUGUUUGUGCAAAUGAGGUGACUAUUGGUGCCGACCUACUUCCCAGGCAGUUUUGAAGAGAAGUGGCAAACGUUGAAGGGCGCACACUCUCCUUCCCCAAGCUCCCUCCCUCCCCACGUGUGCACCCAGAAGGAAAUAAAAGCCGUAAUUUGCACUGGCGAGUCGGCCCGCCUCGUCGAGGGUUCCGCUGAGCUGCUCACAAGGGCGUGCGGAGGCCCGCGGCCGGCCCUGGCCCCUGUGGUGGCAGCAGCUGGCUGGCUUCCCGGGCGGCUACCUCCAGCUGCAGCUGUCGGUGCUAUUUGCAGCUCUCCACAUCCUGAGAGCUGGACGCCGAGGACCGCUCCCUGGAGGGCGUGCGUAAAAUGCAGCAGCGGAGCGGUGAGGAGAUUACCGGAAAAACUGGGAGCGGAGUCAGGCUCGUUCUGGAGCAGGGAGAGGCUUGGGAAGUUGCGAAACGUUGACCUGCAGGGUCUUGAGGAACUGUCGGCCUGGGCUGUCCCCGUGGGUCAUUGAACAUUAAUCAGCCACCAGUCCUCGACCAAGCCAACCGAAAUAGAGUCAGCAGGCAGAAUGACGAAUACAGUUUGAAAGGGAACGAACUUACUCUUAUUCUCUCCUUGGAAAGGCCUUUCCAGACUCUCGAACUCACCCCUGUCACAUUACCCUGUUGUGUUAUCUUUGUGGGCCUGCGCAGCACCUGAAAUGAUCUGUCUUAGGGCCGAGUACAAUGCCCAGCUCAUUUGUAAAUGAGUGAAGGAGUCCCCUACUAGCAGGCUGCCUACUCAUCAAUCAAGUAGUUGUUGGGUUUCUCAUUUUUACCUUUGGAGAUGUUGUCUUCGACCUACGGGAAGGAAUUGGAUCUAUUUGAGGUUCUACUUUUGAGGUAUCUGAAGACCCACACAUGCCUGAGAGAAAUGUACAGAUGUUCAGCGCAGUACUGUUAAACAGCAAAAAAUAGGAAACAAUCUAAAUGUCCAUCAGUAAGGGAAUGAUGAAAAAUAUUAUGGAUCAUAUACAAGUGAGAUCGAAAAAAGAAAAAAUAUGUAUUAUGGAGCACCAUACUGUGGAAUGUCACGUACAUGACUGAAUUAUGUGACUAAAGAGAACAAUGAAUAUGAGUACAUAAUUUACAAGGAUCUCUCUAAUCCCUUUUCCACUUAUUUUUAAAAUGGUAUUUAGUAUAUCUGCAAAAUUAUUUAUUUCUAGUAGACAAGGCCUCACUAUGUUGCCCAGGCUAGUGUCAAACUCCUGGCCUCAAGUGAUCCUCCCACCUCGGCCUCCCAAAGUGCUGGGAUUAUAAGUGUGAGCCACUGUGCCUGGCUUUCCACUGACUUUCUAUUUCUGGAUUCCAGAGUCUGCAUACCCUUGCCCACCACUGCUCAUGCUCACUUACAGGUUUAGUCAUACUAUUGCAGAUUUUAUUCCUACUUCCUUCUUUUCAGUGGAUGCCCAAUAAAUUCAACUAUUUAAGCUAAGCACAGUGGUGUGUCCCUGUAAUCCCAGCUACUUGAGAAACUGAGGCGGGAGGAUUGUUUGAGCAGAUUUGGAGACCAACCUGGGCAACAUAGAGAUUCUAUGUAAUCUCUCAUGUCAAAAUAAGUAAAAAUUCCACUAAUUAGAAGGUCCAAACCAAUGCACAUGUCUAAAGUCAUCUAGCAUUUCUUCCUGGUAGAGAUUACCUUAGACUGAACCCCCCUGGAAGACGAGCAUUACAUAUUCUGGAGUGUGGCAUAUUAUGUUUGUGUCAUUCCAUGUUGUAUGGUUAUCUGUCAUGAUGUAUCGUGAAACAAGCAAUUCUAUAACAGAGCACUAUUUUGCCUCAUUACUCUGGGAGCAAUGUGGCAUAGACCCAUGGAAUUUCCCAAGUUGUGGCAAGUGUUAUUAGCACUGCCUUGGUAUUAAGAGGACAAGAAAAUGAACCACCAUCUUUUGCUGGAUAGACAAUCAAAUCACUUUCUGGCUUUUAUCUACUUUUAAAAUACAUUUCAAGGGUCAUUUGAAAAUGACACAAAGCACAAAUAUGAAAAGAAAUUCAAAUAUUAUCACACUCCCUAAUAAAACAGCCUAAUUACCAAAGGCUCACAUUUUAGCAAGUUAAUUCUAAGACUUAAGCUGUGUACGGUGUGUGCAAAUUUGCAGAUACCUUACCAUCACAUGCAAGUGUCUUACUGCUACUGAAAGCUAUCAGACCCUUUCAGGAGGCGUGUUGUACCAAGCAGACCUAAAUGUGAACUUUCAUCAAGGACCUUUUUAGGAGGCGUAUUGUACCAAGCAGACCUAAAUGUGAACUUUCAUCAAGGACUAUGUGAUGUCAAGCAAGGCAGUACCCAUGUAUUUCAUUCAAAAACCAGUUGUCUCUCCUGUGUUUUUUUUUUUUUUUUGAGAUGGAGUCUUGCUCUGUCACCCAGGCUGGAGUGCAGUGGCACAAUCUCGGCUCACUGCAACCUCCGCCUCCCGGGUUCACGCCAUUCUCCUGCCUCAGCCUCCUGAGUUACUGGGACUACAGGCGCCCAGCACCACGCUUGGCUAAUUUUUUGUAUUUUUAGUAGAGGCGGGGUUUCACCACGUUAGCCAGGAUGGUCUCAAUCUCCUGACCUCGUGAUCUGCCCGCCUUGGCCUCCCAAAGUGCUGGGAUUACAGGCGUGAGCCACUGCGCCCGGCCUCUCCUGUAGUUUUCAACAUAGUUAAAUCCUACAAUGUCUGAGCAAUGGUUACAAUUCCUUAGGUAGUAAGGGAAAUACCUGUUGAAUGGCAGUUUGUGUUACAUGGGCGCUUUUCUUAUCUUUAUCAUUUAAUCAUUACCCCUCGGGUACACAGGACACACAAAUUUCAUUUUUCAGAUUUCACUUUA